AGCUUGCUCCCGGAUGUUAGCGGCGGACGGGUGAGUAACACGUGGGUAACCUGCCUGUAAGACUGGGAUAACUCCGGGAAACCGGAGCUAAUACCGGAUAGUUCCUUGAACCGCAUGGUUCAAGGAUGAAAGACGGUUUCGGCUGUCACUUACAGAUGGACCCGCGGCGCAUUAGCUAGUUGGUGAGGUAACGGCUCACCAAGGCGACGAUGCGUAGCCGACCUGAGAGGGUGAUCGGCCACACUGGGACUGAGACACGGCCCAGACUCCUACGGGAGGCAGCAGUAGGGAAUCUUCCGCAAUGGACGAAAGUCUGACGGAGCAACGCCGCGUGAGUGAUGAAGGUUUUCGGAUCGUAAAGCUCUGUUGUUAGGGAAGAACAAGUGCAAGAGUAACUGCUUGCACCUUGACGGUACCUAACCAGAAAGCCACGGCUAACUACGUGCCAGCAGCCGCGGUAAUACGUAGGUGGCAAGCGUUGUCCGGAAUUAUUGGGCGUAAAGGGCUCGCAGGCGGUUUCUUAAGUCUGAUGUGAAAGCCCCCGGCUCAACCGGGGAGGGUCAUUGGAAACUGGGAAACUUGAGUGCAGAA
rnacentral:rRNA from 1 species